rnacentral:lncRNA from 1 species
UAAGCUGCCCUUUCCAUUUCUCUCAGUGCCUUGAAGUUGUCUGGUGCAUUUCUAUCCUUUUUCAAGUGUAGCCUGUCGUUUUCUCUCCAUUUCCAAAUGCUGUCCUUCUUUCUCCAUUUUCAAUCUUAAAGUAAGUUUUCAGUUUUUCCAUUUUCUUCUUUUUGUGCUUUCAUUUUCUUUACCCUACACUCACAUCUGGAUUUUUUGAAAUUUUGUGUUAUAUGUUUGGUUUACUUGGUAGAAAAAGGAGAGGUUUGAUUUAUUAUUAUUAUUAUUAUUUUUUUAUAUUGUAGGGUUUUCAAUUUUCUCAAAAAAAAAAAAAUUUCAAUUUUAUUACUGCAUAUAUUUUAACGUCCUUCUCCUAAUCCCCGACUUUUCCCUCACCGUAUAGAUUUUUGAUUUUUCACUUUCCGUAUUCAUUUUGUAUUUCAUGAAACUUAUUUGUGCUAAUUUUUGCUUCAGGUGGUAUUGGUGCUUCUUAUCUUAGAAAUCAAUAUUUUGGUGUAAGUUUCUUUGUAUGGCUUUUUUAUCAGUUUGGUUAAUUUGUAUUAUCUUUUUCUUUUUGAGUUCUCUAUGGGCACUGCUUAUCAUUGGUUUAAAAUCCUUUUUGAGAUUCCUUUCUGUGCUUUUCUUUAUCGUGGAUGCUCUACCAAAAUCAUGAGACACAAACUCAAUUUGAGCACAUUGUAGCCAUGAAUAAAAAAAAUCCUACAUAUAGGUUUUUAUAUGUUAAUAGCUACUUGUCAACAUUUCAAGUGGGAGUGACAAGUAAUGUUUUAGUGACUUAAGGUUAGGAUGAUUUUCAAGACUGCAAAUUGCAUUAUAUUGAGGAUCUGUUGUAGAUGCACUGGUUUUAAUCGGAGUGGAGGGAGGAAGACUAAUUUAGGUGUGGGAUAGGAAACAUGUCUUAAUUGUGGGCUUGUUGUUACUGCUUCAUGUAACGAAUGGAAAUAAUUUUGUACUAUAUUUUGAUUUUUUUUAGAUGUAAGAAUGGAUUCUAGUACUUUUUGUAGAAGCAUAUAAGCUAUUGUUUACUUGGUCAUUCCUCCAAUACAUAGGUGAUUCUUUGAAAAACAAUAGAAUCACAUCCAGACUUACAUAAAAUGUUUUCAUCUCUGAGCCCUAUCGCAUAAGAAAAACAAAAGAAUCACAUUUGAUAAGAAAUAAUAACCCUUCAAUUAAUUUCCAUGUUCAUCUAAGAAAUAAUGAAGGCUUAUUCAAAAACUUACCGCAAUGUCUUCUUAUCUUUUUAUCCAAAUUUACUGAAAAUCUUUUUAUUUAUUAUUCUUCCCAUUGUCAAUUUUUGUAACAUGAUAUUAAAACAAUAUAUUCUAGAGGCUUAUGCAAUCUCUGUUACACUGCCAAUAACAUAUGAUUCAAAAAUUGAGUACAUGCAUCUUAUGAAUGACGCUGUCAUCAUUCCCUUGGUUCAGCUUUUUUCGCUCUUUGUGCCUCAGGCUCGGUACUAGAAUAAAAAAAAAAGACUAGCCGAACAACGACCAUAUGUUGUAGACUAGAAAUGUAGUUGCUGAUUUUGACACAACCUUUUACAGACUAGAAAUGUAGUGGCAAGUAGUUUCUGAAUAGUAAUUUUUUCAGCAACAAUAUAUUUGUUUGACACAAAUGCAUGAUUGGUACAAUGUGCUCAAAUCUAAUUUUAUGCGUAUUGAAUUUUUCUUUACCGUCAACAACAUAGGUUAUUCCAACGCCAACAAAGAGGAAGCCACCACUACAAAGACCUCUGAAUGGCCCUAUCACACAGGCGAUCACUCAAGCUAGCACUAGCCUUCACCUAUCAUCCAGUCUGCACCAGCCACUUUGCCAACAAAGACAUGCAGUUCUAUAGUUGUUAUUUAAUUCGUACUUCAACUUUUUUUGUUAUUGAACUAUAUUGUUUUAACACUUGCAACAUCCCAAUCGAGCGUAAGUGAUGUGGUCGUACUCAUGGCUUAGGCACAUCCCAGAUAGUCAAGGUCACUCAUAGGAAGCUGGAAAUCAUGUAUGAAGACAGCGAUGGACGACCAACUGGUCCUAAUGCUAGUCGAUUAGUAUCUGAAACAAGAUCUAGUGUGAGAAUAUUUGUACCUCUCCAAAAGAUCUUUUGGAGAGAUGUGACUCAAUUUGAAAAAUCCCCUGUUUAUGACAAAGUGGAGGUAACACUGUUGUUUUAACUUGUUUUGCUUCUUGUCCUAGUAGAACUUUUAUACAUCUUUUUCUUUCUUUAAACAGUCAUUGCUGAAGGAACAAAGCUAAUAACAAAUUAGUAUACCAGGUAUCAAAACGAAAGGUUCUCUAAACGAUUAGAAGUCAAUAUCUUAAUUUAAAAUAUUGGAUGUUUGCAAAUGGUCAUUGACAUGUAUGCAUAUCUUGAAUGAUUUGAAUUGCUGGCAUUUUGAUUUUGGUUGCUUGAGUAGCAACUUCAUAUUCCAAUAUAUUUGUGUGAAUUUUCUGCUCUUCAUUGUAUUUUACUGAUGUUAUGUUGCUAUAUAUAGGCUAUUUUUGAUGUAUAAAAUGAUAAAUAUGCAACUCUCAAAGAAUUCAUGGAGAAAUCAAUGGCCAACUUCCUUUAAGGAGUUUCAAUAUGAGCUGUACACACAUUACAAGAAGUUUCCAGACCAACCAAUGGCUCAUAGAAAAGCUAAUAAGCCUAAAGAAAUCCGACAUUAGGAUGAUUGGGAUUAUUUGUGUGACUAUUGGGAAAGUGAGCGGUUUUAGGUUCAUUUAUAUAUAGUGUGACUUCCAUUUAUGUUCAUUGGUUAACUUAUUUAGUUCAUUGACUAUUUUUGUUCUGUUAAUUGGACAUUACAGAAAAGAUCCAAGGUAGCAGUUGAUAAUGGAUCCUGACAAGAAUUUACCCAUUUUUUCUGGUUCUAGAUCAUUUAUUCAAUGUCCGGCUAUGGGGGUAAGUAAGAAACAAUUUCAAUUCAGUUCAAUUUUAUUCUUAUAACUUCUAAUAGGAUAAUGGAAUUGGACAACCAAACAGAAUUCAGCUAUGGAAGAACACACAUUACAAGGAUAAAAAAGGCUGGAUCCAUCUUGUGCCCGAGGAGCAAUAUGUAAUAAACAAAUACUAUAAGUGUUAAAGUUUAUUAUUACUUAUUGGAAAAAAUAUUUUACCACCUAAUUUGUGUUAAUACUUUUAUUGUCAUCUAGUAGACAUACAAACAACACAACAGGCACUUCAAAGGAGUAUAACUCACUACUAAUGACAUUGCGACUCACGUCCUUAGAACUACUUCUUGCUACUAUAGGGGUUUGGGCAAGGGUCCAAAGAUUCCACAUGCUAUAUCUCGUGCAGACAUGACUCAACGAGAGAAUGCCAAGCUUUGCCAAGUCGUGUGUAAUUUGAAGAACCAAAAUAAUCGUAUUAUCGCCUUGUUAAAAGAGAUUAUGCCAGGUGCCACCGCUAGAAUAGGCAGCCCUAGAGUUCCUACUACUCCUUAUUUGCCAUCGUCACCUGAUCACGAGUCAUAUGAUGAUCAUUGAUUUAAAGCUCUUUUAUUCCAUUUACAUGGUUUCAUGUUUUGAUGGUUAAUACUCCAUUAUUACAUAUGUUAUUAUUUUGGAUUAAGCUAGUCUUCUCUUACUUUGGAAUCUGACUAGGCUUUUUAUUUUGAAAUCCAUUAUAGUUUGGGCAUGU